CGCUGCUUGGCUCGGCGCUCCUUCGCCCCGAGUUCUCCAUCCCCUGGAUCCCGGGCUCGCGGGGGCGCGGAGAAGAGGACCAAGGAAAGGGCCAUCCGCAUGCAGGCAUUUAGAAACUGACUUCUUCGCUGGCGACCGCAAGUGCCUGUGAUUUUUACUUUCCGUCUACAUUGAACGUCUUGUACUGAAACUCACUGAGCCCUGCAUGCCACAGUGCCUCGCUAAGGGGUCUCUGGGUACAAAAUGCCUCUCCAAGGAAAUGUUUCGAGAACAUGGCGAGAUCAAGACAUCAGAGGGCUUGAUUUUGUUCACCAGUGUGAGACCUUCCAACCCUAACCUCCAACUUCUCACUAAAAACAAAACCAAACAAACAAAACAGAAGGCAACUGAAAAUUCAAGCCAGUAACAGGAAAUGGGUCAUUUCUACUGCUCCUACUUACCUCUUAGUUUCAACAAGUAGGUGGUGUGGUGGAGACUGGGGCGGGGUGGCGUGGGCAGCAGGUCCUUGCAUAUGAGUCCCGGUCACUCUGUGUUCUGGGGACUACCCCUGUUCUCCAAGGACUGACUUUCACAGUGGGAAUUUCCAGCCCACAGGAGACAGAGAAGGCAAAGGGACGAAGCACUUGGAAGGUAGCAGCCUUCAAAGAAACACUCCCUCUGCUUGGGGACACGUACUGGGGAAGGAGGAAAAGGGAGAGGAGGCCGGCUGACCCACAGGGGCCCCUUUUAUGGCCUUCCUGUUUAUGGCUGAGAAGUAAACAGCCUGCGAGCCAGGUCGUCUCCGACGGCAGCUGGGGCACGGCUCGAGCUGGCUGGGGACCCUCUCUUUCUGGGUGGCAAUGGGCGGGGAAUCUGCCAGUCACGCGAGUCUCGGAAGACUUGUUUUUUUGUUUAAACCAGCGUCUUGGGGCAUUUUCCCUUCAGCUCACACCAUCUGCUUUACCCUCCUCAUUGGUCCUGCACCUUUCCGGGGGGUGGGGGGCACAGCUGGGAAUCUGUGUGUGCAGGCAAGGGGUGAGGACCCCAGCUGUGACACUUAGCAGCUGUGUGACCUCAGGCGAGCCCUGCACCUCUCUGAGCCUCUUUCGUAGCCGGGUAGGAGGAUGUGGAGACUGCCUGUGAUGC